rnacentral:lncRNA from 1 species
UAUGCAAGUUCCCUAUUGUAUUCGACUACAGAGUACCGGGUACUUUUCAUAUUUAAGGAACGAGUACAGAGUACCGAGUACCUUGCUCAAAAAAAGUACUUAGAGUACAAUAGGUACUCAAAGUACAAUUACCCGAAUAUCUCGGGUACUUAUUUCGAGUACAUUUGAAUAUAGAACCCGAAAAAAGGUAAGAGGGUAAUAAUUAUCUCUGCCUCUCUAAACAUAUUUAUUUAUGAGUCAUAAAAUGACGUACAUUUUAUGAAAACAUAAAAUAACGUACAACUCCAACUUAAAUAAAAAUAAUAAGAAUUUUAAAAAUUGAUAAUUGAUUAAUACAGUAAAACCUGUCAGUAACGGCCGCUAAAAAUGAAGGAACUAUUGGCCGAUAUAGAAAGGUUGCCGGUAUUUCCAGUUUUUGUAGUUCACAAAUAUAUAAAAGAUAAUUGGGACUUCGUUUAUUUUGUUAAUAAAAGCAAAUAUAAUUCUAUAGGUACAUAAACGGAAACUACUAAAACUAGUUUAAUAUCCUAAUAUAAAACAAAA